CAUCCCAGCAGCCAAACUCAGCCCACUGCUCUCUCUGUGAAUGGGGCAAGUCCUAGCCUAGAGGCUAUACAUGAAGUGUAUUGAGAGAGUGGAGGUGAUGGAUUUCUGCGUGGAGCUCCUGGCUGCUCACAAAGGCCUGGACAGGUGUAUUCGGUGAAAGCCCCGGAGUGUGAACGUGGUGAGACCAGCGCUGCCGGGAGGUGGGGGACGCUCUGCACUACUCCUGGUUGAUGGAUUUCAAAGUUUCCCUGAAACCUGAAAGUCUUUGGUGAGAAAGGUAAAGUGUGGGGAGCCAAGGAUGACAUUACGAAUAAAACGAGCCUGAAAUGGAAACCUAUUCUGUGCAAGUAAUAAUCCCAUCACAAGAUGGUAUUACAAGGUAUUUAAUGCCCAGCUGGAUGUAGUGCGGCCCUCAGGCAGAUCUUAAAGACUUUAACCUAGUAGAAGAAUUAACUGUGGGAUUAUCUACCUCCCUCUCCGGGAGAUGACACCGUUACAGUACAUUUUGGAAUUUUCUUAUUAAGUGUGCUGGAUUUUUUUUCCCUUCAAUCUUUUAAAUUCAAGAGAAUAAGAGAAUAUUUCUCUCCGCACCUAUAUAAGACUAGCACAUUCUUCAAACUAAUUUAGGAAUCGUCUAAUAAAUAAAUGACUCUU